AAGGGUCUUCAUAGUCUUCCCAGAGGUUAUCAUAGACAGAAAAGCAAGGAAUCUGAUAAUGCACACAUAAUGAUGUCACAAGCCCUUAUAGUGGAGGUUUUAAGAAGUUUGAAGGACACGUUCCUGGCCAUUUCAGCAUGAUCAAGCAGGGAUUUUGUUCUCGAGGGCAGCACGAAGACAGUGGCUUUCAGCUUGCAUCUGUUAAGGCUGCUCAACAUAGACUAGAUCAUCAAUAGAUUGGAAGGCCGGAAUAUUGGAUGGUUGGAAUAGUCAACCGGCAAAAUGUAUGACAGCGGAGCUAUUAAGGUGCUAUUGUCUGCUUGUGAUACUUAUAACUUUGAAGUGCUGUAGCGGCAAGUUCAAGUUCACUCUUUCUGUAAAUUGGGGAGAUCUAACGUGCUAUUUCUAUUUUGAGUGACUAACAAAUUGUUACUUUAUUUGUGGUUGAAUAAUAAUUGAUUAUUAUUAUCUGGAUGAUGCAGGGUUGUCCAUCAUGGAGACAACCAUUUGAUUCAUUAACUGUUCUAGAGGAAGAUGCUGUGGAGAAAUUGAUGAUACGGCGUA